rnacentral:rRNA from 1 species
UUGGAGGGCAAGUCUGGUGCCAGCAGCCGCGGUAAUUCCAGCUCCAAUAGCGUAUAUUAAAGUUGUUGCAGUUAAAAAGCUCGUAGUUGAAUUUCGGGAUCAAUAUGUUGGUCGUGCCUUGGUACGUACUAAUUUAUUGGUUUCUUCCUUCUGACGAACCAUGAUGUCAUUAAUUUGGUGUCUUGCGGAAUCAGGACUGUUACUUUGAAAAAAUUAGAGUGUUUAAAGCAGGCUCACGCUUGAAUACAUUAGCAUGGAAUAAUGAAAUAGGACGUUUGAUUCUAUUUUGUUGGUUUCUAGGAUUGACGUAAUGAUUAAUAGGGAUAGUUGGGGGCAUUAGUAUUCAAUUGUCAGAGGUGAAAUUCUUGGAUUUAUUGAAGACUAACUACUGCGAAAGCAUUUGCCAAGGAUGUUUUCAUUAAUCAAGAACGAAAGUUAGGGGAUCGAAGACGAUCAGAUACCGUCGUAGUCUUAACCAUAAACUAUGCCGACUAGGGAUCGGAGGAUGUUAAUUUUUUAAUGACUCAUUCGGCGCCUUACGGGAAAC